GCCACCCUGCGACCGCCGAAGCCUUACGCUCUAUGCGCGGGGUUGAUGUAGGCGGCGUGGGGUGGC
rnacentral:sRNA from 12 species